rnacentral:rRNA from 1 species
CCUACGGGAGGCAGCAGUGGGGAAUAUUGGACAAUGGGGGCAACCCUGAUCCAGCCAUGCCGCGUGUGUGAAGAAGGCCCUCGGGUUGUAAAGCACUUUCAGUGAGGAAGAACGCCUGGUGGUUAAUACCCAUCAGGAAAGACAUCACUCACAGAAGAAGCACCGGCUAACUCCGUGCCAGCAGCCGCGGUAAUACGGAGGGUGCGAGCGUUAAUCGGAAUUACUGGGCGUAAAGCGCGCGUAGGUGGCUUGAUAAGCCGGUUGUGAAAGCCCCGGGCCCAACCUGGGAACGGCAUCCGGAACUGUCAAGCUAGAGUGCAGGAGAGGAAGGUAGAAUUCCCGGUGUAGCGGUGAAAUGCGUAGAGAUCGGGAGGAAUACCAGUGGCGAAGGCGGCCUUCUGGACUGACACUGACACUGAGGUGCGAAAGCGUGGGUAGCAAACAGGAUUAGAUACCCUGGUAGUC